rnacentral:lncRNA from 1 species
AGCCGAGCUGAAGUGGGCAGGAGUGGCCUGCACCUCCAGGGAGCUUGGGGUGUGUGUGGGGGUGUAGGCGUGGGCAUUUGCACGGGGUCCCAGAGCGAGCCUCUGGGAGCAGGGGAACUUGGGGCUCUUCCGGGGCGGGAGGCCGUGGCCUCUGCAGCCUCCACGCCCACCGCCCCAUGUGGCCAGGCCCUAAGGAGCAGUAGGAGGGUCUGGGCGCUGCCCACAGCCCUUCCUGCCUGUUCCUCCCUCCCACAGGGAGCCCAGCGGAGUGGACGGGGCGGCUGGGGGCAGCGGCUUGGCAACAGACCUGCGGUCCUCAGACAGCUCAAGUCCUGGUUCGCCCCCUCCCUCAGGAGGAUGCUGUGGUGGCAGAAGCAGCAGCCGGAGGGAGAACGGGAAAAAGUAGCCGUGGAGAAGGCAGACGCCUCUGUCACCCCCAGAUGUGUCUCCCGAGGCCCUGACUGUGGGGCUCUGGAGGCAGAGCCAGGCCGGGGCUGGCAAGAAAGAGCUGCUCGUUCCAUGAGGACGGACUCCUUCCCUCUGGGUUCCUGGAGGCUCCUCUGAGGGACUGCGAGCUGGAGAAGGCCAAGAGAGGGCCGUGCAGCAGGCCCGGGGCUAGCUCGGCAGCAGCCCCAGCAGCCUCGGCGAGAGGCAGGGACAAGGAGGGGUGGGAAGAUUCCAGAACUCCUGGAGAGUUGAGAGCUCACGCGUUUCUAAUUCAGGGCUUUCCAUUCAUUCUCUAACUUAAUUCUCAAAAUAACCCACGGAGACUGGCAAUAUUGUUGUCCCCAUUUUAUAAACGAGGAAGCACAUAGAGAGGUUAAAUAAUUGGGCCAGCAUUGCCCAGCUGGUCAGCAGUGAGCCCUUCUCUUGGCCACCGGCGUGUGGCCUCUGGAAACCUACCCGCACGGCACGGCCUGCAGGCCAGGGCUGUCGUCUCCAUUGGCCACGGUGGCCUGUGCCUCUCCCCAGGGCUCCUCCUGUCGUUGGCCGCUCUGCUGAAAUUAUCAAUAAGAAAUGCCAGCUGGAUCUGUGACAUGUCUGCCCGCAGCUGGAUGCCAGCAAACGACAGCUUGUCCUUGGAGCGUGUUUUCUGU